GGCUGGGGGGGAGAGGGUUGAAGGGAAGAGGGUGAGAAGCGGGGUGGAAGUGGAGGGUCUGAGAACGGGAGCGGGGAGAAUGGGAGGGUACUUAGAGGUCCUGUUCCCCCCUCUUACAACGCAGGCGCAGUCCUGAUGAGGCCCCCCAAGGUGGGUCUGUGGCUCCUUCCUGCCGUGGACUUUCCGGCAGUCAGCCACAUCCGGCUUCCUUUAACCGGAGGACCGCCUCGGGACCACAGCGUGGUUUAGGUUCUGGCUAUCCGGUACCAGUGGCCCUGAGCAGGGCGAUGGGCACCCGAGAUUUGGCUUUGCGUCAGUCCGCUUGGUAGUCUAGUGUUUUCUGUUUCUAAGGGCAGUCAUUCCCCAACCUUAACCGAACGAAGGCUUUGUGUUCCUGUGCCCUGGCAGUUAGCAGAAGCUUCUCCCAUUCCUGUAAGCCUCAAGUCCUCCGGUUGACAAAGAGGUUGUUAGAACGUGGGACCUGCUCAGAACUCAGAAGUGGGUACCAGAGUUUACCCUAACACCAGCCUAAGUCCUUGUCCCUGGGGGCACAGCACACACAGUGGCCUUGAGACGCCCUUCCUGCCCCCCCCCCCCCCAGAGUGCCCACCUUCUACAACAGUGCCAAGGCGUUGGUGAGAAGAUGGCCUGUCCCCCGGAGGCAAGCCAGCCUGGGUAGCUUGAGCAAGGCCUGGCAGGCAGGGUCACACAGGACUGUCUCCUGGAACAUUAAGAUGUAAGGCAACUUUCCCCCCACAAUCCCUGACUUUCAGAAAGUCAGGAGGUAAGGUCUGGGAGCCAUGCUCUUGGCUGAGAACAGUACAUUCCCUCUCCUCCCAGCAGGAGCAUUGAGCUGUGGUCUUGGAGACUGCUCCAGCUCUAUUGGUGGGUUUUCUCUAGGGCGAGUCCCCAGGACCUCCUGGGGGUGUGAGUUAGCUGUGACCUGAACUCCAUGUGCUCUCGUGGCCACUCCUGUCAUGUUUAUUAGUACAAGGCCAUUUUGGGUUUCAGAUGAAAGACAGUAUUCGAGGUUAAAAGAAAAACCGGAGGGAAGCAGCCCUCCCGCCUGUGGCCUGCCGCAGGGUGAGCUAGUGGAAGGGCCCCUGUGUCUCCUUCAAACCCACAGUGCUUUCUGAGAGGGGCUCUGCUCCGUGCUCUGAGAACAGCAGCCUGUGCGUAGAUCUUACUGGAGAUAAAACUACCGGCAUAAGGUCGAGUUGACAGUUUCCCCCAGGUGUCUGGUUUUUGAGGCAGCGUCUCACUGUAUAGCCCAAGCUAACCUCAAACGCAGGGUCCUGCCUGAGCCGUCCUAGCGCUGGGAUUGCAGGUACGCGCUGUCCUGACUUCCCCUUCAUGGCGAACUUGGGAGAUGGGGGUGGGGCUGGGGCGCAGAGAAAAAUCCCAGGCAGACAGUUGAAGGGCUGUCUGUUUUGUAGUGGUUCUUAGGAGCCCAAGCUUUAUGCCAGAGGCUUCUGUUUCAUGCUCAGAGGCCUUCUGAGCCUGGUUGAUAGAACCUGUGUAGAUGGAAGGAGUCCUUUCCUUCUGCCUUUCCUGGAAAAGCAGCGGUUCCUGUCCUGAGUCAGCUGUCAUGAGACCUACAGGCACAGGCCCUCAGCAACCGACUGUCGAGGGUUUGAGCAUCUGUAUGUACCUAAGACUAUUCAUUUGUGUCAGAAACUGCCUCAAUUCUGUGAACUUGCCAAAUAGACACUUUCCUCACUUUGGACCAGCAUGGAAGUAUCAGGGCCACAUCUGGGCCCUUCAAAUCAGACUGGCUGAGGAGCUGUAGGAAAGGGCAGAGGAGAAACAAAAAGCCUCCCGGGGCAAGCGAAGCAGUGUCGUCCGUCAGCCUCUUGCAGACACUUUAAGGAAAGUGAUAGCAGUACAAGGCAGAGAGUAGGAAAUUCUAGAUGGAGGCACAGGCUGGCUCCUCUGGGUCAGGGAGGGGAGCGGCGGGGGGGAGGAGUUGCAGAUGGACACAGUAUCCGGAGGUGGAAAGGGACUGUUACCACCACCCUGGGAAAGCUGCCACUGGAACUGAUACAGACCUGUGGUCAUCCGAGCUCUCAGCUGCUAAGUGCGUGGAAAGACGUGGCUGUAGUGGGAGAGGGAAGUGGUCGUCCCCAGAGCCGGAGGAAACGGCCUCAUUGAGUCAUGUGUGCGACCGUUACUGACUGUCGGGCAUUGGGGUGGGCGUUGACUGGAGCUCUGUUCCCAAAAUGGUCUGUCCCUGUGAGGAGAGAGCCAGAAGAGAACAUGAGAAUGAGAUGCACCGUCACACAGUCAGACGGUGUGGGGAGCAGGAGGAAGUGUGGAGCCCUUCCCUCUCCAUUGUUAAAGCAGGAUGUGGGCCUUCUUGGUGGUGGGCAGGACUACACCAAAGGACAGCACAGGGGAGGGAAGCCCUCAGUCUCUUGUCCAGGUAGCUGUGAUUGGAGAGAUGUUUGAUUCUACCUACUUCCCAGCCACCGUGGUUUCAACUCAAGCUGAGUACGACAGCUCAUGGCUGAUCUCAGUGCUCUGGAGGCUGGGGCAGGAGGACCACUGAGUUUGAGGUCAGCUUUAGCAGCAGAGUAGAGGACAAAGGAUGUAGCUCAGUUGGUAAGAGUGCUUGCUUAGCAUGCACAGAACCCUGCUUUAGACUCCCAGCACCCCAUAAACUGUAUGUACCCGGUGGCACACACCUAUAAUCCCCAUACUGAGAAGGUAGAAGCAGAAGGAUCAGAAGUUCAAGGACAUCCUCAGCAUCAUAAUUAUCUCAAGGCUAGCUUAAAGCAGAUUCAUCGAUUUUUAUAACCCUGUUCCUUUGAAAUAUGAAUCUUCUAGCCAGCAGGGAACCUCUGCCGUUCUCUGCAAUGCUGGAGAAUGGACCCAGGGCCUUGUGCAUUCUCUUUUCUCUGGACAUGCUCUACCACUCAGCUACCACCGCAGCCUAAGCUCCUGGUUCUGCAGCUCAGGAUGGUGGGCAUGAUGACCCAGCCACAAUACCUUGCAGUUUUUCAAAGAAAUGAACACCAGUGCCAUUCCACAGACAUUUUGUCAUCUGUACAAUGUCAAGGAAGUAAAGGUUUGUGGACAAAGCAGGAAAGAUCAAAUAUGGGAUAAUGUAGAUCCUAGUGACAACAGAUCCUGUGACAAAGCCGAGAGGCACCCUACUCAGCAUCAGGGUCUACACUGGUAGGACCUCUGAAUGUGGUCCCAGAUGCUCUUUUUGAAGCUGAGGGGGUAGGGGAUGAGCACGGGACUGCACAACACGUGGAAGACUGUCUGCUGAACUCUGCCUAGUAAUUUACAUUGCUGGUAUCACCUACCUACCUGAAGAUGGGAGGAAAUACACUGGCCUCCUAUCAGAAGGGGAGCUGGAAGAUGGGAUCCUCGCUGACUCUACCUGUGCUCUUCCUCUGCCUUCUAGCUCUUCUACCGUGAAGUUCUGGCUUCCUCUCAUACACAGGACUUGAACUUGUCUCUCUUGGUCCUUCAGGUGCGGACAUUGUGUAAAGAGAGGAUGCUGGGCCCUUCCCUUGCUGGCCGCUUUAAUAAGUUAGUUGAUGAUAUCUACUACGUAAACAGGAUUCUCCCUGCUUCCUUCCUCUGCACAGAGAACUCCCUGGGAAUCACACAAGAAGAGGUGUAGGAAACUGGGAAGUGUGGGGUCUGUCCCCAACCACGGUAACAUGUAGUCUGAGGACCAGAGCACAUCUGCAGGGUAACCAAUGCUUUAAACACAUGUCUGGACAGCACUCAUGAGAGACCACCAAAGCGGCCAUGCUUGCCUAAACUGGCAGCUGUCAGUAACACACCACUGAACUGAUGACUCCCAUGAUCCACUUCUUCCCACUUCUCAUUAGCACUACUUUAAUUCA